UACGUAGGGUCCGAGCGUUGUCCGGAAUCAUUGGGCGUAAAGCGCGCGUAGGCGGCCCGGUAAGUCCGCUGUGAAAGUCCAGGGCUCAACCCUGGAAUGCCGGUGGAAACUGUCAGGCUCGAGUCCGGAAGAGGCGAGUGGAAUUCCUGGUGUAGCGGUGAAAUGCGCAGAUAUCAGGAGGAACACCGGUGGCGAAGGCGGUUCUCUGGGCAUUACCUGACGCUGAGGAGCGAAAGUGUGGGGAGCGAACAGG
rnacentral:rRNA from 1 species